CUCAGUUCGGACUGUAGGCUGCAACUCGCCUACACGAAGUCGGAAUCGCUAGUAAUCGCGGAUCAGCAUGCCGCGGUGAAUACGUUCCCGGGCCUUGUACACACCGCCCGUCACACCAUGGGAGUUGGCAACACCCGAAGUCGGUAGUCUAACCGCAAGGAGGACCGCCGCCGAAGGUGGGGUUGAUGAUUAGGGUUAAGUCGUAACAAGGUAUC
rnacentral:rRNA from 1 species